UACGAAGGGGGCUAGCGUUGCUCGGAAUUACUGGGCGUAAAGGGAGCGUAGGUGGACAGUUUAGUCAGAGGUGAAAGCCCAGGGCUCAACCUUGGAAUUGCCUUUGAUACUGGCUGUCUUGAGUACGGAAGAGGUAUGUGGAACUCCGAGUGUAGAGGUGAAAUUCGUAGAUAUUCGGAGGAACACCAGAAGCGAAGGCGGCCAACUGGCCCGAUACUGACGCUGAGGCGCGAAAGCGUGGGGAGCAAACAGG
rnacentral:rRNA from 1 species